AUCAAAAAAAACGAAAAACUACAGCGAUGCCAAACACCCAUAUUAGUAGUUUUACCUCUAUAUUGACUACUUUGGGCCUUUGUUCCCUAUAUAAAUUAAACUAAUUUUCUUGUCUAAAAAAAAAAAUAAAACUAAUUUUAGAUAGACCAAAUAAUUUUGUUUACACGGGUUUUGAACCGGACCGGAUCGGACAAUUAGGAAUGCAGGCUGGGUGUAUAAACAAAGUCAAAUUCUUGAAGGCACAGAACACAAUCUCUCCUAAAAUAAAGAUGGCGCAACAUGAAUCAACCAAGGCUGGGUUUCUGGAAUUAGUCCCAUUUUUCGUCGUCCUUCUCAUGGCUGCUCAUCUUAUAGCUUUGGUAUACUGGAUGUUCAGAUUAGCUACUGAGAAGCAGCAACCAUUUUCUGGAAGAUCCAAACAACACUGAUACUACCUCUCUCUGCAUUCUCUAUGUUAUUUGACUGUAUAUGCGCUGCUUGCUGCACACAACAGAAGAAAUGUGACGAAGAUAGAGAUAAUGUCAACCUGGAAGUUUCCUUCAGAGAAUCAUUGUUUUUAUUGGUUAUUGCUAUCAGGGUGCGCAAUGGUUUUGAACUGGAAUGCCGGAAACAUAUGUAUUGCUCUACAUUCCAAGUGAAUAUAACACCAUUUUUACCAUAUACACCACUGUUAUGGACCAACUGUAAGUUGGCCUAAAAAUAUACUCAUCAACAUUUUUAUCUAAUAUACUGUUUCUGUUUCACAAUGCAA